GGGAGAUACCUGGGAGUGGAGUAGCUGGACGGGUCACAGAUAGGUGCUCGUUUAUUGAAGACACUACCUCGGCGUGCGUGGUUGCACCGUUCCAUGUUCCCACCAGCAGGGCAGGAGGAUUCCAGUCACUCUGCGUCCUUCUAGCAUUUGGUACCGACGGUCUUUGAUUUUAGACCUUCUAACAGGUUCCAGAGGCUCCAGACAUUCCCUGGCCUGUGACAGCCUGACGUCCAUUGCUGCCCACAUUCUCCUGGCCUUCUCCCCAGGUAUCUGCCAGCGUCCUCCCCACUUCUUACAAGGUCCUCUGUAUGCCCAUAUGAAUUUUAGAAUCAGCAUGUCAAUUUCUACAAAAAAAAAAAACUAUUGGGAUUUUUUUGAGAUUGUGUUGAAUCUAUAUGGGGAGAAUUAACAUCAACCAUACUGAGUCUUCC